rnacentral:rRNA from 1 species
UACGUAGGGUGCAAGCGUUGUCCGGAAUUAUUGGGCGUAAAGAGCUCGUAGGCGGUCUGUUGCGUCGGCUGUGAAAACCCGAGGCUCAACCUCGGGCCUGCAGCCGAUACGGGCAGACUAGAGUUCGGCAGGGGAGACUGGAAUUCCUGGUGUAGCGGUGAAAUGCGCAGAUAUCAGGAGGAACACCGGUGGCGAAGGCGGCUCUCUGGGACGGUACUGACGCUGAGACGCGAAAGCGUGGGGAGCGAACAGG